rnacentral:rRNA from 1 species
AGUGAACGCUGGCGGUAGGCCUAACACAUGCAAGUCGAACGGCAGCACAGUAAGAGCUUGCUCUUACGGGUGGCGAGUGGCGGACGGGUGAGGAAUACAUCGGAAUCUACUUUUUCGUGGGGGAUAACGUAGGGAAACUUACGCUAAUACCGCAUACGACCUACGGGUGAAAGCAGGAGAUCUUCGGACCUUGCGCGAUUGAAUGAGCCGAUGUCGGAUUAGCUAGUUGGCGGGGUAAAGGCCCACCAAGGCGACGAUCCGUAGCUGGUCUGAGAGGAUGAUCAGCCACACUGGAACUGAGACACGGUCCAGACUCCUACGGGAGGCAGCAGUGGGGAAUAUUGGACAAUGGGCGCAAGCCUGAUCCAGCCAUACCGCGUGGGUGAAGAAGGCCUUCGGGUUGUAAAGCCCUUUUGUUGGGAAAGAAAAGCAGCAGGUUAAUACCCCGCUGUUCUGACGGUACCCAAAGAAUAAGCACUGGCUAACUUCGUG